rnacentral:rRNA from 1 species
GACGAACGCUGGCGGCGUGCUUAACACAUGCAAGUCGAACGAUGAAGCCGGAGCUUGCUCCGGUGGAUUAGUGGCGAACGGGUGAGUAACACGUGAGCAAUCUGCCCUUGACUCUGGGAUAACUGCGGGAAACUGUAGCUAAUACCGGAUACGACACCUUGGGGCAUCCCAGGGUGUGGAAAGAAUUUCGGUCAAGGAUGAGCUCGCGGCCUAUCAGCUAGUUGGUGAGGUAAUGGCUCACCAAGGCGACGACGGGUAGCCGGCCUGAGAGGGUGACCGGCCACACUGGAACUGAGACACGGUCCAGACUCCUACGGGAGGCAGCAGUGGGGAAUAUUGCACAAUGGGCGAAAGCCUGAUGCAGCAACGCCGCGUGAGGGAUGAAGGCCUUCGGGUCGUAAACCUCUUUUAGCAGGGAAGAAGCGAAAGUGACGGUACCUGCAGAAAAAGCACCGGCUAACUACGUGCCAGCAGCCGCAGUAA